UGGAUGAUACCUUUACCGGAUCAUACUAACGCUACUUACAAAAAUUUGUUUUUUGCCUUGAUUAAUUCAUUUAACAGGGACGAAAAG
rnacentral:ncRNA from 1 species